GUGGACGCCAGUCUGCGUGGAGCCGACCUUGAAAUACCACCCUUUAAUGUUUGAUGUUCUAACGUGGACCCGUAAUCCGGGUUGCGGACAGUGUCUGGUGGGUAGUUUGACUGGGGCGGUCUCCUCCUAAAGAGUAACGGAGGAGCACGAAGGUUGGCUAAUCCUGGUCGGACAUCAGGAGGUUAGUGCAAUGGCAUAAGCCAGCUUGACUGCGAGCGUGACGGCGCGAGCAGGUGCGAAAGCAGGUCAUAGUGAUCCGGUGGUUCUGAAUGGAAGGGCCAUCGCUCAACGGAUAAAAGGUACUCCGGGGAUAACAGGCUGAUACCGCCCAAGAGUUCAUAUCGACGGCGGUGUUUGGCACCUCGAUGUCGGCUCAUCACAUCCUGGGGCUGAAGUAGGUCCCAAGGGUAUGGCUGUUCGCCAUUUAAAGUGGUACGCGAGCUGGGUUUAGAACGUCGUGAGACAGUUCGGUCCCUAUCUGCCGUGGGCGCUGGAGAACUGAGGGGGGCUGCUCCUAGUACGAGAGGACCGGAGUGGACGCAUCACUGGUGUUCGGGUUGUCAUGCCAAUGGCACUGCCCGGUAGCUAAAUGCGGAAGAGAUAAGUGCUGAAAGCAUCUAAGCACGAAACUUGCCCCGAGAUGAGUUCUCCCUGAGACUUUAGGUCUCCUGAAGGAACGUUGAAGACGACGACGUUGAUAGGCCGGGUGUGUAAGCGCAGCGAUGCGUUGAGCUAACCGGUACUAAUGAACCGUGAGG
rnacentral:rRNA from 1 species